rnacentral:rRNA from 1 species
UACGAAGGGGGCUAGCGUUGCUCGGAAUUACUGGGCGUAAAGCGCACGUAGGCGGUUUCUUAAGUCGGGGGUGAAAUCCUGGAGCUCAACUCCAGAACUGCCUUCGAUACUGGGAGACUUGAGUUCGGGAGAGGUGAGUGGAACUGCGAGUGUAGAGGUGAAAUUCGUAGAUAUUCGCAAGAACACCAGUGGCGAAGGCGGCUCACUGGCCCGAUACUGACGCUGAGGCGCGAAAGCUAGGGGAGCAAACGGG